ACUGCUUCUCUUUCUCACCAAAAAAGUCCAGGCCACACAAAAGAGCCAGGGUGGGGAGGGGGAGGGGGGAGGGUACUGAAAAACACAUGAGCAAACGCACUGCCUCCCAUCGAGGCUGUGUUCGCCUGUAUAAACCAACCAGAGAAAAUAAAAGGGAAAUUUAUCAUCGCCUGCAGCCACAGCUGGGAAAACAUCUGUGGGACAGGGGUGGGCCCCUCCACACUCCCCUCCCUGCACUGAGGUCAGCUGUGGCUGUGACCAGGCCAGAGGAGGAGGCCAGCAUAACAAUACCUGUUUCUCUAGAAACAUGUGCGUGUUUGCUGGGUACAUAGGGGCUGAUCCCGUAGCCCAGAUCCUUGGGGGCAGUGUUCACCGCCUGACCACAGAUCUCAUUCCUGGGCCUUCAUUCCCCACCCACGCCCCGCCACCCCCGGCUCUCCUCCUGGAGCAAGUCCUCAUGUGUCACCACUCCCUCAUGUAACAAGCCCUUCACUUUGCUUCCUAUGACUAACAAAUUAGGUCCACCGGCCGCCUGGCACUGGAGGUUGUAUUUACAGCUAUCUUUUCAGUUUCCUCUCUGACUAGCCAAACCAGUUCCUCGGGACAUCUCUCUCCCUUCUUCCUUCCCCAGUUAUCCCUUCAUCUGAAAGACCCUCCCAGCCCUGCUAAGACCCCACCUCAGAGCCUCCUCCCUUGCAGAGAAGCGCUAUUUCCAUGCAUGCCCCUUCUUAUGCUGUAGGACAUGCGGGGACGAAGGUGUGACUUUCCCCUUCCUUCCGUCACUCAGCAAGGACUCCAGAUGCCCACUCUGUGCCAGAUGUUGCUCUGAGCACCAGGGAGAAUGGCAGCAGCAGCGAGGCAGGAACUCGAAGGAGCACUGCUUCACAAAAGGGGCGUGAUCACCUGGGUGGUGCCGCUGGUUGGAGGGCAGACCCAUAAGGUGGAAGUCAUGGGGACCUUAAGGAAGAGCUUCAGAGGCGUGGCAGUGAUAUAGGAAGCAAAACACUGAGAGGGCCAAGGUGUCAAAGGCUCGAGAAGAUGUGAAAUAGCCAUCGUGCGGCGCGGAAGAGCAACCUGGGUAGGAAAAUCCGGUAAGAUGACUGACCAUGUGAAACUGCAACAAGCCGGCGCCGUCGUGGUUUCCUCCAGCCACUCUCAGCAACAAGGGCGCAUGCGUGAGGUGGAAGGGGCGUGGCCUCACCCCGGGCUUGCGGGGCGGGGCUGCUCCGCACGCACCCAAGGGAGGAGUGUGUGCAAGAGAGCGGAGAGUGUGUGCAGGAGUGGUCACGGCCACGAGGCGCACCGUAAGCAAGAGAAGGGCGGGGGAGGGGAGGGGAAGGGAGGGUGGCGGGAAGGUUGCGGGGCCGGGACACUAAGGGCUGGCGGCUGCAGAACUGUCUGGGGUGCGAGGCGGACAGCGGGUUGCAGAGAAGGAUGCCUGAAGCUGAACUUGCAGGUGGCAUGGUACCUGGUGCCGGGAAGGUCUAGCGGUGUGAAGUGAGGGGAAGGGAGGCUCGGUCGUGAGGAGGUGAGGCCAGAGAGAGGCCAGAAGCAGGGGCAUCAUGCUAAGAGGCGUGAGCUCACCAGGGAUGGGGACAGGAGUUGCGGUGGGAGAACCCAGGAAGCCAGGAGCCCAGCUCCUCUGUGAAUGACAGCGUGGCCCGGAGGAAGGGAGACCUCAACAAGGAGGCGUGUGUGUCAAGAGUCCACAAGAGCCGUCUUUCUAGGGGAGGAGGAGGAACCAUGGCCUGAGAGUGGCAGUGAGCGACAAGGAUGCCUGCCCGCCUCCAGCAAGGCUCCGUCUGGGGAGUGCAUGCAGGUGGAGGCAGUGUUCCAAGAGACUGGCGGGCGAGGAUCUGUUGAGCACAGGUCACAGUUCCAGGAAGAUGAAAGCUUCACCCGUCUACAGAAGGCCAAUUUCUAUUCUAUGUUUUAAUCCAGAAUCCAGAAAACAGACCAUAAUUCAUUUCUCAGGCUUCUCUGAUUUUAAAAAAUUGUUGUUGCUGUUGUUGUUGUUUAGGGGAAAACUAGCAUUAGAGACGUGACUGGAACACCAGUCCGCUUACCUGGAUUAGAUGCACCACAAAGACACAGAGCUGCAGCCUCGCGGGGGGCAAACACUGUGCACAGAGACCCAGGAAACAUGAAGCGAGUUCAACUCUGAGCAGACGCAUUAACUGUGCUGUGUUAUCCGCAUCCCCACACACAGUAUUUGGGGGCAUCUACUGCGACUACUUUGGCCUCUCCUUCCAUACGUGUCUGUUAAUUAAACAUGCCUGCUCCUUCACAGAGGCCCCUCACAACAUCGGGGGAAGACAGUCACGCUAUUUUUACGAAAAGGCAGAAGACACCUUCUCACAUGACCCUCUUAACCACAUUUCAUUGAUUUGGGAACCGCCUCUUCUAAUUUACCAACCGGCCAAACGCUUUCUAUACCUGGAAUUCGUUCUGCCCAGCCUUGGUAACAGAAAAGUCUGUGGCUGGGUCAGAACCUGACCUUUCAAUCUCAACCACUUCACAGCACAGCAUUCCCCAACGGCACUCCAGGAGACCCCGGUGUGCCCUGAGGUGUUAUGUGUGCUCCAUGAAGAGAAGGUCACACGUGCUUGGGAAUCCCUGGGCUAGCUGAGCAGCUGGAUUUACCAACCGGCCUGGCAAUCUUUUCCAUGCUAACCUGAGUGCACAUCUCCAGGGGGUGGGAGCCAUGUCUGGACCCCCUGUCAUUUACCUGUGAAAUCCUUCUGUUCAGCAGCCUCUCUCUGGGGAAGUUCGCUUUUACAGAAUGAACACUUUGCCUGUCCCACACUCCUUUCUGGGGGCCUACUUUGUCCUCCUCAACUCCCCUUUUUGAAUGGACGCCCCCUGCCCCAACCCCUGGCAAUGGUGGCCCCCUUUCUACCUUCUGCCACUCCCGGUGAUACCACAACUGCUGUUCAUGCCUCAAGCACCUGAGCCCGGCCCUGAUGUUCCUCGUGCUGAGCUUUGCCUGAACCUGAGCAGGGGUGUCAACUGGAGGACAAGUCAAAUCUGGGCUUGUCUGGAAGCCUGUGGGGGAUGACCUGGGAGCCAGUGCAUGAGAGAAACAAAUGUCUCCUGGGAAAGGGGUAAAGGCCUAAGGGGAGAGACAGGUGUGAGGGCACAGCUGCAGGGCCAGGAGGGAGGGGUGACACCGGGUGGAAUGCAGUGUCUGUCACAGGAGCCUCCAUGGAAGAAUGGAGAACAGAACCAGCACUCCCUCGUCGGGCACUGCUGACAGCCCAAGACGGAGUGGCCAGUGCUGGCUCCAUGGCUUGGGCCAUUUGACUUCUUCCUUUUGAGGAUGACUUAGAUAUCCUUUGCCAUCUUUUCUGGUAAACUGUUCUUCUUUGUGAUCUACGGGAGCUCUUUUAUAUCCGAUGAUUAUCAGUCUUUGACCCUUUUAUAUAUUGCAAAUAGUUAUACACAGUUUCCUUCCAGGCUGCUGCUAGUUUUUAAACUACCUUUAUGGUAUCUUUUUAUGUCCUGGAGUUUUAAAUAUUCAUGUAGUCAGUCUAUCAGUCUGACACAGGGUGAAGGCUGAGCAGGGGUCGUUGGGUGCCCCCAACGCUCUGUUUCUAGAUCUCACCCUGGUGAUAUGGGUGAGUUCACUUGGUGAAAAUUCAUGGAGCUGUACACUUAGGACUCGUUCAUUUAUAUGUAUUUCUUAAAUCUGUCAGGUUUUUUUUUUUUCUUUUAUGACUUCUGAGUGUUACGCUUUGUUUAGAAAGCCUUUCACACUAUGAAACUGUGCAUGCUCCUCCUGUAAGUUCUUUUAAUACUUUAAAAGUUGAGCUCUUUAUAUAUAUAUUUUUUAAUUUUUAAUGUUUAUUUAUUUUUGAGAGACAAAGCAUGAGCAGGGAGGGGCAGAGAGAGAGGCAGAGACACAGAAUCCCAAGCAGGCUCCAGGCUCCGAGCUGUCAGCCCAGAGCCCGACGCGGGGCUCGAACUCACAAACCAUGAGAUCGUAACCUGAGCCGAAGUCGGAUGCUCAACUGACUGAGCCACCCAGGCGCCCUUUUUAUAUUUAACCUUAAUGACCUCUGUAAUUUCUUUUAAAGUCUGAUAUACUAUAGGGCUCUAACUUAAUUAACAUCCACAUAGGCUUAACAAAACCUAGGAACCCCAUAAAGGUAAACCAUCAACUACGUUACUAAAUAACAUUGCUUUUGGUAAAAAUGACCUUAAUUGGCCAAUUGCUCCCGGAUAGGGAAGAGCCAUACAUGAAUUAUACCUGCCAACGAGGACACCAGGCUCAGGGCUUGGGGGAAGCCUGGAAUCUAUACCUGUCGGGGUUUUAUAAAGGAUAUGGCUCCUACAGGGUGCAAGGCUUAAUGAUGGGAGGAGCUAGUGACCCCAUGGAUGGCUGUGCGGAGCAGUCACCUGCAGGAGCUCCCGGAGAGACCGCUCACUGCCCAGGAGAGGGAGAGCCAGCGCUGUCCUGCGGGCAAGCCGAGGUUUCUGCCCUCCUCCUUUCAGACUAGAAAAUCCAAGGGGAACCCGAUCUGAACAUCUGGCUGAAUAAACGAAGAGCCCCACGGGGCACAGCACUGGUUGAUGACACCAACCGACACCAUUCGUUGAAUAUCCACCUUUUCCCUGGCUGAUUAAAUCAUCACCUAAGUUACAUAAACUAAUCUAUUUACAUAA